rnacentral:rRNA from 1 species
GGUGUAGGUGGUUUUUCAAGUCGGAUGUGAAAUUUCUCGGCUUAACCGGGAAGGGUCAUUCGAUACUGUUAGACUAGAGGGCAGCAGAGGGAGAUGGAAUUCCCGGUGUAGUGGUGAAAUGCGUAGAUAUCGGGAGGAACACCAGUGGCGAAAGCGGUCUCCUGGGCUGUUCCUGACACUGAGGCCCUAAAGCGUGGGUAGCAAACA